rnacentral:lncRNA from 1 species
UAUGGCCACUUCCUGUAUCGCGUGGAAAAACAACAUCCAAAGAUGGCUAGCGAAGUGAAUGCUAUCAUGUAACUAGAGGAUAAGGAUAACAUAAUGACAUGAUCAAUAGUUUAAAAUUAUUCAAAACCAAUGCAUAUACAUAUAUACUUCACAUGUCGGGAUAAGGAACAAGGUUAAACAUACACUUAAAAGUUUACCCUGGAUUGUGUAGCUCAACCGUCAUAACAUGUACCUAUUUUAAUGAAAAAUGACUUUAGAGUCGAC